AGCUAAAAGCACUAACACUAGCAUGCUUUCAUGAUAAAAAGGCUGCCUUUCCUUCCAUAUUCCUCCUGGAGAGAUUUCAGAAUUUACAAAGCCUUGAAGUCUUAUGUAGCUCCUUUGAAGAUUUAUUCCCGAACGAAGGGCUUGUUGAAGAAAGGAAACAUCCGGUGCUUGAAAAUUUAAGAAAACUUAAGUUGAACAAGCUACACAACUUAAAGUGUGUGUGGAGAGAAGACUCGUUAGUGUCAAAAAUUCUUCAAAGCAUCGAAACAUUUAAGGUUUGGGAUUGUCCCUAUUUAACAACAAUAUUUCCAACCGAGACAUCCUUCCAGAAUCUAACAAAUUUAGUGGUGAAGAAUUCCUCUGGAUUGGUACAUCUAGUAACGACUUCAGCAGUCACAAAUUUGGUACAUCUCACUUAUAUGACUAUAAUAGGAUGUGAAAGAAUGAAAGAAAUAGUGGCAGAUGAUGGAAACAGAGAAGGAAAAGUGAUUUCUUUUGAAAAGCUAAGUUGGUUGACACUUGAACAUCUGCCAAACUUAGAAUGCUUCUCUUCUAUCCCAAGUUGCAUCUUUAGGUUCCCAUCCUUAAGGAUUAUUGAAGUGGAAGAGUGUCCAAAAAUGAAGACCUUUUCUAAGGGUACACUAAGCACACCAAAACUAGAUGAUGUGUCACUGUUCAGAUACAAGUGGGAAGGGAAUUGGGAGAAGGGUGAUGAUCUCAAUACAACCAUACAGAAGUUAGCAGCAUAAAUCAAUGCACAUAGAAUUGUAGGAAGCAAAGCGGGUCUCUCCUUCUCCUUCUCCUUCUCCUUCUUGACGCCAAAGGCUCUUUCUCCAUCUUUCUUCUUCUUCUUCUUCCUCCGUGGAGCGAAAUUGGGGGAAGCCUCUGCUGCCUUCACAAAGGACGGAGCAAAAAUGAAGCAUCAGGAAUUGCCAGGACUGCGAGAAGCGAAGCUGCAAUUAGCGGAGCGGAGCCAAGUAGAUUCAACCAGACGCUGUCGUUGUCGCCGUCGUCACCGCCGGAGGUGGCACAACCGAGUCUGGACAGUCAGUCGUCCACUCACUUCAUCAAAGAAGAAGAAGAUCACACUCUCUCUCCGCAUCUGCAUCCGACAAAUCGCUGGUCCAAACAUUCGAGCAGAUUGAGGCAUCCGGAGCUGGUUUUUUAUGGUCCCAUGCGCCCAAGGCCUCUCACUGCUCUUACAUCGGCCAACAAAUUUCAAAUGGAGCAUCCCUUUUUCAAAGGUGGUGAGGAGGCCCUCUUAUGUUUACUUUGGCUUGGCAACAUAAUCAGGAAAACAAGGUAAUUGCAACUCUCAGGUAUUCAGACAGGUCGUGGACGGUGAAGCUCAGGAGCCAUGGACUUUUUUUUCGCUGCUUGACACCCAACUGCUAGAGAAGCUCGUUUGCAUUUAAGAGAUGUUUGUGUGUUCGAGCUCAUUGAUAGGGGGGAUGUGUGUUUAGAGUCUACAUUUCCACUAGUACUGCUCAAGACCUAUCAACUCCAUUAUCCAGCUGGUUGGGCCGCAUUUGUGAAAGAAGCUUGUCUGGAUGAAGGGGAUGUCCGCAUGUUUGAGCUCAUUGAUAGGGACGAUUUUAUGGUCAAUCUCCAUCUCCAAUUAUGCUAGUCAGAACAGAUAGUCUAAAUGUCCAGUGAGCCCUCUUGAGCAGCCUUUUCAUGGUUUCAAUUGUCCGAGGCCUCUCACUGCCCUUUAGAAUGCUGGAGAAUUCAAGUUAGAGUAUCCCUUUUUCCAGAUGGUGACAUGGCCAUCUUUUCUUAAGAAAGAAAUAAUGGCUUGGGAAGAAGAGGCGACACGAAAUGUCCAGCUUAAGCAAUAGCUAUUGCAACAGGCCUAGGCUUGGCAUGACUAGGCUCACUGCAACAGCACGGCAACACUAAUCGGGAUAUUGCUCCCUGGCAACAAAUGGUUUACAAGAGCUACUAUUGCAAGCAAGUUCAAACUUGCGAUCAGAAAUGAAGUGAAGAGCGUUCCUUAUAAAUUUAUAGAGACAUGCAGUCAAGAAAACCAGCAAAUUGCUAUUCUUAGGUAUUCAGACACAUUGUGGCUGGUGACCAUCAUGAGCUAUCAGCACUACGCUGUAGUGAACUUCUCUAUUGGUUGGUCCAAGUUUGUGAGAGAAACUUAGUCUUGAAUGAAGGGCAUGUCUGCAGGUUUGAGCUCCUUGAUAGGGAUGAUUUUUAGGUUGAAUUGGGACGUGAACACUGGAAGUGUCACUUUAGGCCAUAUACUAGUUAGAAGCGAUCUAUGCCUCUUUUCUGUUGUGAUGAACCGGAUGAAAGUCCACUUUUAUUUCUGACUGCUUUUUUCUGAACUAGUUACAAUCUUAUAAUUUCUAGGCCUAGCCACUCCAUUUAUCGGAUAUUGUGAUGAAUAGCCUCGCACACAUUUUCUACUUUGGGUAUUUCUCUUGCGCUUGUAAUGCUUUUAUCAUUGCCUUCUUGGAAAGGACCUUAGUUCAGCAUUA